GGGUCUCACCAGCUGUAACAGCAUCUCCAUAUGGAAAAACUGUGGCUUCCAGUGGAGCUGCUGUUAUCUGUGGAGGGACA
rfam:Oreochromis niloticus linkage group LG2, whole genome shotgun sequence.